CUCUCUCUCUCUCUCUCUCUCUCUGUCUUUCUCUCUCUCCGCUAAAAUCGAAGGUUCCUUUUGCUUUGCUUUUCCCCUUCGAAUCGUGGAAAUGCCUAGGUUCGAUUUUCCAAAUUCAUUACAACUGAACUGCUGCUGAGAUUAGGGUUUGGUACUGUUACUACCCUGUUGUUGUUUGCAACUGAUUGUGGUUUUACAGUGCUGAGUUUGGGGUUUUCGUGAUUUAUAUUCAAUGGAGGAGGCUUGUGAUGUCGAGCAAACACACAAACGAGCUCGAGAACAAGAUGAUUCUCCUCAAGACUGUCAUCAACAGAUGUGUAAUCAGGAGGAUGGGGAGGAAUCAUCCUUGGUGGUGCCGCAGCAGCAGUCAAGGCGUCCAAACCUUUCCUCUCUUCAAAUACCAGCAAGGUCCAUGGAAAACACAUUAUCCAAUUUCAGUCCUAGUUCCAAUAGAGCAGGACUUCCUCCUAGACCAAAUUCAGCCAAGUUUAAGUCAUCUGUAAGAAAUUUGCUUCCCCAGAGAAGUUUCAGGGGCAAAGGUUUAUCCCAGGAUGGUGAGAAGACAGUACUCAUCCUUCCGGAUACACCUCUUUCUGAGAGGCCCUCAACUUCAAGGUCAUUCUCUCUCAACAAAGUCUUUGUCUCUUCGUCAACAAAAUCAGCUCAUUCUCUACCAGUGACACCAGUUGCAAAUUCAGGUCUCCAGACUACAACGGUCGUGAAUCUGGACAAGCAUUCUGAAAUUUCUAACCCUGAAAUUGAGCAUCACAUGAAGCGUUCAUUUUCGGUUCCAGUGAAUAUAAAAACUAGAAGUUUCCGGCGGAUGAAUUCCACAGGAGGGUUGAUCCGCAUAAUAUCAGCAAAGCCUCAUCCCGAAACAGUCGAUGAUGGUGCCCCUGCAAAUAAAUCCACAGAAAUAAACAGUGCUAAUGAAGGUGCUGAGGAGGAUAUUCCUGAAGAAGAAGCUGUUUGCAGAAUUUGUUUGGUUGAGCUUGGUGAAGGUGGUGAAACCCUGAAGAUGGAGUGCAGCUGCAAAGGAGAGCUUGCACUUGCUCACAAGGAAUGUGCUGUAAAGUGGUUUAGCAUUAAAGGAAACAAGACCUGUGAUGUCUGCAAGCAGGAUGUUCGAAACCUUCCAGUAACAUUGUUGAAAAUACAAAAUCCUCGGACUGUUAUAAGACACCCGCGAGCUGUUCAGGACCAGAGGGAAAUCAUGCAGUACCGAAUCUGGCAAGAUGUACCCAUCCUUGUUAUGGUCAGCAUGCUUGCAUAUUUUUGCUUUCUGGAGCAACUUCUGGUGUCUGAUCUUGGACCUCGUGCGCUUGCAGUUUCUUUACCAUUUGCUUGUGUUUUAGGUCUUCUUUCCUCCAUGAUUGCUUCUACAAUGGUAAGCAAGAGUUACAUAUGGGCUUAUUCUUCAUUCCAGUUUGCAAUCGUGAUCCUGUUUGCUCAUAUCUUUUACACAAUGCUCAAUGUAAGUCCAAUUCUGUCGGUGCUUCUUUCCUCAUUCAGUGGCUUUGGAAUUGCAAUCAGCACAAAUACACUUGUUCUGGAGUACAUGAGAUGGAGAGCAAGCCGAAACCUGGGCUUCCCACAUCGGCACGGUAAUGAUGUUGCACAGUGGCAGCUGCAACACAACAAUCAACUGCACCAGAAUCAGCGGCAACAUCAACGUCAGCAGCAGCAAUCAGUAGAAAAUAUUACUACGGGAUCUACGGAUGGUGCUGGCUAUCAAGAGAUAAGAAUCCAGACCACAUAGAACAGGAAGAUGCAAAAUUUUGGCCACUCUACUGGUAAUUUCGACUUUCAGAAUGGCGCAGUGAACAUUUAAGGUUUUCAUAGAUCAUGGUAUUAAUUUUGGGGGCGAGUUUUGGUGUCGAAAAUGAUUGAUCACAGAGCAAAGAGAAAGGGGCAAACCCCAAAUUUUACUCUUAAUAUACAUGAUAGUGCAACAUAGAUUAGGUAUAGAAUGCCUAAAGAGCGUGUCAAGUAGCUGAAGAAAUUCUGCAUGUAAUCCACUCCUAUUGUGUUCUGUUUGUUGUAUGUGCUCUGUUAGUCUUUAGUUCCAAAAUGUUGCCUAAGCAUUCAUUCUUACCCUUCUGUGUUCAUGGAAAUUGUAUGCAACGUUAUUACAGACCCAAUUUCUGUUGCUUCACUUGUAAUAUCAAUUUCUUCAGUCACAGUUUACAUGUAUAUAUACAUUGUAGUCAUCAGUCACAUUUUACAUAUAUAUAUUCAUGGCAUGAUUAAGCAGUCA